rnacentral:lncRNA from 1 species
GGAGCAGCAGCAAAAGCGCCGCGCGCGCGGUUGGUGGAAUCCCCGCGCGCUGCCGCUGCCUGUGAGGAAAAGAGCGGCUCCCUUUUAUCCUCUCUGAGGUGACUUAGCAACAGCUGCUGCUGCAGCAGCAAGCAUCCGCGCGCCCUCCCGCCUCAGCUAGUCAGCGCCAGCAGCGGCGGCGGCUUGACUUCUGAGGCGCGCUUUCUCUCCUCAGUCGCCACCUCAGGUAAGACGAAGGGAACUUCCCGCGCUGCCUCUGUCUGUUCGUCACGCUGUGAAGCACUCUUUUCUUUCUUUCUUUUAACGGUGUGUGUGCUUUCGUUAUGUUUGUGUGUUGUUCUCCAACGGGACCUCUUUCUCCAGUCUCCUAGCCUCCUGUUGCAGGUGCUUCUGGAUGGCGCCUUCUUUUUGCCGCAGGUUUUUUCCGCCCCCCCCCCAACCCCCGAAAGGUGCUCCUGCCGGGCUUUGCCGUAAGGUGACCUUGAGCUGCUAGGUGGGCUUUUCAGGCGGCGGGGCCGGGAUUCGCAGUGCGACUCUGGCGGGGUGGCCCGGCCAAGUGAAGGGCACAGGGGAAGGACUCUGGACUUGGUCCGGGGAGGCUGGAGGGGAGGCGAAGAUGCCUGGAAAGGGCGCUCUGGACCAGCCUGCAGCCAGCACGUCCCGAGCUCUGCUGGGACGCUGCUCUCUGGGAGACCCAGGCUGUUCUCCUCAGGAUGCUGACCUGGGGCUGGGGGUCCUCAGAAACCAGUGGGGCUUGCUUCUGAAUAAGCAGGAAUAGGACUGAAGGGUGGAAACCUCUGAAGUCUAGGGAUGGAAGUGGGGAGACGUGGUUAAAUUUAUGCAACAAAUGUGUGUGUGUGUGUGUGUUUAAAGGAAAAAGCCAAGCGCCUCAGAACAUGUUGCACAAGGAGAAAUGGUAAGGGACCUUUCAUGUCAUUGGGCGACUGGAACAAUAUUCCGCUGUGGAAACUCUGGAAAGACAAGGAUGCAAUUCCCCUUGAGAAAAUGCCUUUGGAUGGAUACACCAGCAGAGCUGUAGCUAAUUCAAGGCUGCCCUUAAUUUUAUAAGCACCAACUGGGUUGAUAAUGGCAGGGUUCUUCUAGGGAAGGGAAUUUCCAGAUGGCAACAUCUCCCCAGCCCGGUUUUUGAAUGGAUUGUUGUUACUUUAAGGCAAUUUGUGAGCCUGGCAAAUAAAGGCAUUUCAGGAGCUUAACCUUAGUAGCUGAUCAAGCGGCAUUAGAGCAAAACAAUUUAGAAAUAUUUUGAAAGAAUUGUUAAGAGUUUUACAGGCUGCCAUUCUUCAAUGGGAGUAAGAGAAGCAAGCACACAGUUAUUGCAGGCUGGGACUAUCUCUUGCUCGCAAGGUCAAGAACAAAGUAAAACUUUGUCAUGGAAACAUAAUGUUCUGUUCCCUGUUUCUCAGUGCAACUGUAUGCAAUAAACGAAGAAUGUAAAAGUGGCCUAUGAGGCAUCAAAACAGUGUAUUGCAUUACAGCUUAGUUCACUUCUGCAGUAAGUAAACCUGGCGCUGCCUUUCAGUGUGGUACAGUGGACCAGGGUGAGCUCAUUUCAAAUCUCUCUAUCCAGCCAGAAAACUCUUCAAGUGACCUCUCUCUUUCUCUCAUCUACCUCAAAGGGCUGUUGUGAGGAUAAAAUUAAUUUGAAUUACUUGGAGGAUGUGGGAAUGGUUUUGUAAGCAAUUUGUAUGGAACAGUAUUGUCUUGCAUUGACAAAUCAGUAACCAAAUUGGAAAUCCACACAUUUUCUCACCUUUUCCAGUGGCACAUCUUAUUCUCUGUGACUCCAUGUUCAAAAUACUGCUCUGCCAAUAAAGGAAUGUCUUUUAAUGGAUAUUGCACUUUGGAAAGAACUGUGAUAAUACUUGCCUUGUAUAGAAAAAUUGUAAUAAAAGCGUACUUUUUAAUUAGUAGUUGCAGAACUGGAACUGUUGUUUUCCCAUCCAUUAUAUGCAUAUAAUGUAUAUUCUCAUUUUGAGAAAUGAGUGGAUUGCAUUUAGGAAUUCCUCUCCUUAAUGCAGUAUUUGGUUUUCAAUAUAUAAAUAUACUGUAUAGAUAUCAAUACUUAAAAGUUUUAUUUUAAAGCCCUGUAUGAAUUACUCUUUACAUGCAGUUUAUAAAGAACUACAUCUAUGCUAUCCAUUAUUUUUGAAUUCUAGUAAAAUAUCUUGCUGGAACUAACACUCACUACCCAAGCUUCAUUUUUCAAGGAUAGUAUUCAUUCAAGAAUAAUCUGUGGAAAUGUGUACUUUUAUACUAAACCUGGCCUAACUUCUCUAGGCUCCACUGGAAGAAUGUGGUAUCUAUGUGUGGAAGCACUUCCAGUUCCCUUUCCCCUCUAGCUACACAAUGACUAGUCCUUUUGAAGGAAGGAUGGCUGCUUAAGAUGGUUACAGGAACAUAGGAAGCUGCCUUAUACUAUGUCAGACCAAUGGUCCAUCUAGCUCAGUAUUUUGUACAGUUACAUAGGAUCAUAGGGUCAUCUCGUCCAACCCACUGCAAUGCAGGAAUCUCAACUAGCUCCUGGAUUUCAGCUGGGGUGUCUUUCCUAGUCCUACCUGGAGAUGUCAGGAAUUGAAUCUCUGACCUACUUGCAAAGUAGAUGCUCUACCACUGAGCUAUGUCCCCUCCCUUCCCUGCUCCAUCCUGCCAUGGAGAAAGUGAUGUCUAGAGAUAGUUGGCCCCUCUUUCACUGAGCUGAAACAAGGGCUGAACAUAGACAAUCAACUUAUAACUUCAGAUAUAUGGAGAAGUGUGUACAUUUCCUAAUUGUAUUUAUAGCAGUACGGGCAACAAUUAAUAAUUUUGAACUAUUUUGUGGUUUCUAUUGUUUCUGACUAGUUGUGUUCAUCUCUUGCUAUGAUGUAAAAGUAUUACAUACAUUUUGUCACUACUUUCAAUUUUGCUGUUAAUGGAAGUCUAUGGUCUUAAAAGUCCACUGAUAAUGUUGUAUGUACCAUAUUCUAAUUCCUUUAUGCAAUAUUUAUAGUUUUCUUUCUUAGGCACAACUGGAUGUGGCAUUUUUUUUUAUCAGUCGUUCCUCUUCUAUGCACAUGUGCUCACUACUCCAACAAGAGGAAGAAGAGAACUCCUCCCCUGAAAAUUCCAUUACAUAUUAAAAUCAAGAUUAAUAACUGAUUUACAUGUCCUUAUUAUAAAACAGAAUAACUAAUGGGACUUCAUAGAUCACAAUAUAGGGUUGUAUCCAAUGAAAUAAUUGCAUUUGGGUGUGUUUGUGAAGAGGAGUGGACUAAGAGAGAAAGGGGAAGUUCUGUUGUGCUCUCAGAAGUUGUUACAUGUGCACAGUUAUUUAGUUAUUUAGUAUCCAAAUAUGCUACCACAGAAAUAAAAGGUAACCAAACCAGAAUAUCUCAUAAAUGGUGUGUGUGUGUGUGUGUGUGUAAAGAUACACAAAACAUGAUAUUGUGAAAUUUGAAAAAAAUGGAAAAAAGGGAAGAUUGCUUAAAAUGUUCUUCUUUCCAGUCAUGAAAUUCUGUAGGCUGGAGGAAUAUCUCCAACUAAACAACUACCUGACAUUCAGAAGACAUCUUAAGGCAGCCCUGUUCAGGGAAGUUUUUAAUGUGUGAUAUUUUAGUGUAUUUUUGGUUUCUAUGGAAGCCGCCCA